rnacentral:rRNA from 1 species
GAUGAACGCUGGCGGCAGGCCUAAUACAUGCAAGUCGAACGGUAACAGUAGAAAAGCUUGCUUUUCUAGCUGACGAGUGGCGGACGGGUGAGUAACAUUUGGGAAACUACCUGAUAGAGGGGGACAACAGUUGGAAACGACUGCUAAUACCGCAUAAUGUAUUUGGGUGGCAUCACCUGGAUACCAAAGGAGCAAUCCGCUGAAAGAUGGGCUCAUAUCUGAUUAGCUUGUUGGCGGGGUAACAGCCCACCAAGGCGACGAUCAGUAGCCGGACUGAGAGGUUGAACGGCCACAUUGGGACUGAGAUACGGCCCAGACUCC